CAGAAACAAUUGAUCUUGAUGGAACAAUCUUGUUUUUAUAUAAAAUUUCAAGCUGGUGAUGACAUGUGUAAAAGGAAAAGUGCUGCAAGCAGUAAAUGCUGUUCAGUUUGCAGUCCAUUACAUCAACAUAUCUAAAUGAUCCUCUUUAGCCCAAACUAUCAGAAUGAAUUUUCCACAUCAGCCACAAGAAUGACCUUCCGGCAUACAAGACACUUCUUCCCAUGUAAUGCAAGGGAAAAAAAAGUUCAGGUACUUCAAUAGGAUGUUGGAAAAGAAGACUUCCACUCUAAUAGGAUGAAAAAAUGAUCAUUUAUUUACAUCAUUCUGAUUUCUUUUAAUUGCUUCACAAUCCACUAUAAAGAAGAUUCGCUCUGACCCUAAAUUUUCUACUUUUUUUCCCACUUUUCUCUCACAUAAAUUAGGUGUUUCAUUCUUUUUCCUCCUUAUUAUUUUAUUUACACCAUUCUGUGUUGAGCACAGAAAGGUGGAAGUAUAUAGCCCUGUUCUCUGUUUUUAAUGCUCUGUAUAUUUUUGUUUCCUUUUCUGUGGAAUCAGUUUUUCAUUAUCCUUAUAGAAUCAGUUUUUCAUUAUCCUUAUAAGGAGAUGCCAUUUUUCUCAAUCUUUCCUUAAAAUCUAACUAACUUCUUUACUAAGUCAUUUCUGUUCCUUAUAGAAUAGUGAAUGUGACUGUUCUUAGUGUAUUGACUGGUCCCUUUACAUCAGCAUUGUAACUUUUAGGUAUUAGUUUACUUUCAUAUGAUUGUUAUUUCAUAUAUCAUUGUGAACAUAUUUUUUUCCAAAAAUAAAAUACAUAUUGACCUAAAAGAAAUUGCAUCUAAAAGAAAA
rnacentral:lncRNA from 1 species